GUGGAAUUUCGCGUGAAUCUGGCGGGACCACCCGUCAAGCCUAAAUACUCCUUGGUGACCGAUAGUGGAUGAGUACCGUGAGGGAAGGGUGAAAAGUACCCCGGGAGGGGAGUGAAAUAGUACCUGAAACCGUGUGCCUACAAUCCGUUGGAGCUUCAUGUUUACAUGGGGUGACAGCGUGCCUUUUGAAGAAUGAGCCUGCGAGUUAGCGGUGCGUGGCGAGGUUAACCCGUGUGGGGUAGCCGUAGCGAAAGCGAGUCCUAAUAGGGCGGUCCAGUC
rnacentral:rRNA from 14 species